rnacentral:rRNA from 2 species
CUACCGAUUGAAUGGCUCAGUGAGGCCUUCGGACUGGCCCAGGGAGGUCGGCAACGACCACCCAGGGCCGGAAAGUUGGUCAAACUCGGUCAUUUAGAGGAAGUAAAAGUCGUAACAAGGUCUCCGUAGGUGAACCUGCGGAGGGAUCAUUA